rnacentral:rRNA from 1 species
AUUAAAAACCAAUGCCCUUCGGGGCUCUCUGGUGAUUCAUAAUAACUUCUCGAAUCGCACGGCCUUGCGCCGGCGAUGGUUCAUUCAAAUUUCUGCCCUAUCAACUUUCGACGGCUGGGUCUUGGCCAGCCGUGGUGACAACGGGUAACGGAGGGUUAGGGCUCGACCCCGGAGAAGGAGCCUGAGAAACGGCUACUACAUCCAAGGAAGGCAGCAGGCGCGCAAAUUACCCAAUCCCGACACGGGGAGGUAGUGACAAUAAAUACUGAUACAGGGCUCUUUCGGGUCUUGUAAUUGGAAUGAGUACAAUUUAAAUCCCUUAACGAGGAACAAUAGGAGGGCAAGUCUGGUGCCAGCAGCCGCGGUAAUUCCAGCUCCAAUAGCGUAUAUUAAAGUUGUUGAGGUUAAAAAGCUCGUAGUUGAACCUUGGGCCUAGCCGGCCGGUCCGCCUCACCGCGUGCACUGGCUCGGCUGGGUCUUUCCUUCUGGAGAACCGCAUGCCCUUCACUGGGUGUGCC